rnacentral:lncRNA from 1 species
AGUCCAAAUACAGAGAGGCGAGUCGAAAGGAGGCGAGCGACAGCCUGUACCACCGUCUGCCCGUCACGCCGCAGAUCCAACACGCUAAAGACGUGACCGAGCUGCAGAGCCAGGUGAAGUACAGAGAGGGUCAGAAGCAGCUGAAGAGCGCCCUCUACAGUCAGCUCCCUGAGACGGAGGAGAUCAAGUUCGCCUCUGCCGUGACCGAGCUGCAGAGCCAGAACGUCUACAGACAGAAGGCCAAAGCCGACACGAGCUGCAGCGAGUUCCACCUCAUGCCUCAGACCAGAGACACUGAGUUCUCCAAACACGUGUCCGAGAUCCAGAGCCAGGUGCUGUACAGGAAGGAGCGCGAGGAGCUGAGCCAGAGCCUGUUCUCCACGCUGCCUCACACUCCCACCACACAGUUCAUCAAAGAGGU